rnacentral:rRNA from 1 species
GACGAACGCUGGCGGCGUGCCUAACACAUGCAAGUCGAACGAAGCAUAGCAAUAUGCUUAGUGGCGGACGGGUGAGUAACGCGUGAACAAUCUGCCCUGUACAAAGGAAUAGCCUCGGGAAACCGGGAUUAAAACCGUAUGACACUUUAGUAUCGCAUGAUAAGAAAGUCAAAUCGAAUAGAGGUAUGGGAUGAGUUCGCGUCUGAUUAGCUGGUUGGCGGGGUAACGGCCCACCAAGGCGACGAUCAGUAGCCGGCCUGAGAGGGUGAACGGCCACACUGGAACUGAGACACGGUCCAGACUCCUACGGGAGGCAGCAGUGGGGAAUAUUGCACAAUGGAGGGAACUCUGAUGCAGCGACGGCCGCGUGAGUGAAGAAGGUCUUCGGAUCGUAAAACUCUGUCCUUGGUGAAGAAAAGGACGGUAGCCAAGGAGGAAGCCCCGGCUAACUACGUG